rnacentral:rRNA from 1 species
CCUACGGGUGACAGCAGUGGGGGAUAUUGCACAAUGGGGGGAACCCUGAUGCAGCGACGCCGCGUGGGUGAAGGAGUGCUUCGGCAUGUAAAGCCCUAUCGGCAGGGAAGAAGCAAGACGGUACCUGACUAAGAAGCGCCGGCUAACUACGUGCCAGCAGCCGCGGUAAUACGUAGGGGGCGAGCGUUAACCGGGUUCACUGGGUGUAAAGGGAGCGUAGACGGCCAUGCAAGCCAUGGGGGAAAGCCCGGGGCCCAACCCCGGGACUGCCCUUGAAACUGGGGGGCUAGAGUGCGCGAGGAGCAGGCGGAAUGCCUGGUGUAGCGGUGAAAUGCGUAGAUAUCAGGAAGAACACCGGCGGCGAAGGCGGCCUGCUGGACCGCGACUGACGUUGAGGCUCGAAAGCGUGGGGAGCGAACAGGAUUAGAUACCCGAGUAGUC